GACGAACGCUGGCGGCGUGCUUAACACAUGCAAGUCGAACGGAAAGGCCCUGCUUGCAGGGUACUCGAGUGGCGAACGGGUGAGUAACACGUGGGUGAUCUGCCCUGCACUUCGGGAUAAGCCUGGGAAACUGGGUCUAAUACCGGAUAGGAGCCAUUUUUAGUGUGAUGGUUGGAAAGUUUUUUCGGUGUAGGAUGAGCUCGCGGCCUAUCAGCUUGUUGGUGGGGUAAUGGCCUACCAAGGCGGCGACGGGUAGCCGGCCUGAGAGGGUGGACGGCCACAUUGGGACUGAGAUACGGCCCAGACUCCUACGGGAGGCAGCAGUGGGGAAUAUUGCACAAUGGGCGCAAGCCUGAUGCAGCGACGCCGCGGGGGGGAUGACGGCCUUCGGGUUGUAAACGCCUUUCGCUAGGGACGAAGCUUUUUGUGACGGUACCUAGAUAAGAAGCACCGGCUAACUACGUG
rnacentral:rRNA from 1 species